rnacentral:tRNA from 1 species
AAGUCCGGUAGUGCGAGGCACGUUGAACUGCAAAUUCAAAGAGGCCAAUUUCUCUUGGCCCGGACU